GACGAACGCUGGCGGCGUGCUUAACACAUGCAAGUCGAGCGAGGCCCCUCCUUCGGGAGGGUGUCCUAGCGGCGAACGGGUGAGUAACACGUGGGCAACCUGCCCUCAGCUCUGGGAUAACUCCGGGAAACCGGGGCUAAUACCGGAUACGACCUCCACGGGCAUCUGCGGAGGUGGAAAGUUUUUCGGCUGAGGAUGGGCCCGCGGCCUAUCAGCUAGUUGGUGGGGUAGUGGCCCACCAAGGCGACGACGAGUAGCCGGCCUGAGAGGGCGACCGGCCACACUGGGACUGAGACACGGCCCAGACUCCUACGGGAGGCAGCAGUGGGGAAUAUUGCGCAAUGGGCGAAAGCCUGACGCAGCGACGCCGCGUGAGGGACGAAGGCCUUCGGGUUGUAAACCUCUUUCAGCAGGGACGAAGCGAAAGUGACGGUACCUGCAGAAGAAGCACCGGCCAACUACGUG
rnacentral:rRNA from 1 species